rnacentral:rRNA from 1 species
AACGAACGCUGGCGGCAGGCUUAACACAUGCAAGUCGAGCGCCCCGCAAGGGGAGCGGCAGACGGGUGAGUAACGCGUGGGAAUCUACCCAUCUCUACGGAAUAACGCAUGGAAACGUGUGCUAAUACCGUAUACGUCCUUCGGGAGAAAGAUUUAUCGGAGAUGGAUGAGCCCGCGUUGGAUUAGCUAGUUGGUGGGGUAAAGGCCUACCAAGGCGACGAUCCAUAGCUGGGCUGAGAGGAUGAUCGGCCACACAGGGACCGAGACACGGCCCAGACUCCUACGAAAGGCAGCAGUGGGGAAUAUUGGACAAUGGGCGCAAGCCUGAUCCAGCCAUGCCGCUUGAGUGAUGAAGGCCCUAGGGUUGUAAAGCUCUUUCACCAGUGAAGAAAAUGACGGUAACCGGAGAAGAAGCCCCGGCUAACUUCGUGCCAGCCGCCGCCGUAAUAC